UGAAAGCGUGUUAAAAUAGAGACUGUAAACUGUAGCCAUUAAUAAGUAGCCAUUUUAGCCAGUUGUUGCUAAAAAGUGCUGGACACAGCUAGAGCGGACAUUAUGGUUAAAGAGUCAAAGAUUCAUGUAAGUAGUACUAAAGUAAAAAAAAAAAUACGUAUUAGUCGUUUAUUGAAAGCGUGUUAAAAUAGAGACUGUAAACUGUAGCCAUUAAUAAGUAGCCAUUUUAGCCAGUUGUUGCUAAAAAGUGCUGGACACAGCUAGAGCGGACAUUAUGGUUAAAGAGUCAAAGAUUCAUGUCAAGUAAAAGCAAUGGAGGAGGAUGAAAACAAGGCAGAGAUCUGUGGGGUUUUCAGUCCAGGCCCUGUGCCAGACAAGACAAGAUCAGCUCCUGAGUCAGUGCUACAUGCCCGGUCCAGGCAGGCCCUGAGUGGGCCACAGCGUGGGAGCAGACGGGGAUAUGGAGCACCCCACGAUUAAUCAGACCCAGUGCUCUGACAGUUUUACUGUGUCUACACUGAAUGAGUGACGUGACAAAAUUGGAAUGAUGAAAUCAAGUUUUAGUGUUUCUUUGAUUACCAUGUUCUGGUUUUAUUGUGCUACAUUGUUCACUCUCAGUAUAGAUGAGAGUAAAACUGAUUAUUUUGACUGUAAUUAUUGAAAUGUAAUCUGAUCUUAACUUUAGGUUUAACAAAACAUGUAAAUAAUCCAAGGAUAUAACCACAUACAAUACUGUUUAAAAGUUUGCAGUUUAAUGUUUUAGAAAGAAGUCUCUUCUGCUCACCAAGGCUGCAUUUAUUUGAUCAAACAAUACCAUAAAAACAGUGAAAACUGUUAAAUAUUAUUACAGUUUUAAAGAAUGGUUUCUAUUUGAAUAUAUUUUAAGAUGUAGUUUAUUUCUGUGAUGGCAAAGCUGAA
rnacentral:lncRNA from 1 species